AGGUGAUUCUCCUAGGUCACUGGCUGCUGACAACCUGCUUCUGGAGACAUUUCUCUGCCAAACCAAGACUGGAAACGAUUGAGCUCACCUGUGCACUUUGCAAACUUCGAAGUGCAGCGCACAGGGCAACAGCUGGGCUGCAUUGUAUUCUCAGGCUCCUAUGCCUGGGCCAACUUCACCAUCCUGGCCUUGGGCGUGUGGGCUGUGGCUCAGCGGGACUCCAUCGACGCCAUAAGCAUGUUUCUGGGUGGCUUGCUGGCCACCAUCUUCCUGGACAUCGUGCACAUCAGCAUCUUCUACCCGCGGGUCAGCCUCACGGACACGGGCCGCUUUGGCGUGGGCAUGGCCAUCCUCAGCUUGCUGCUCAAGCCGCUCUCCUGCUGCUUCGUCUACCACAUGUACCGGGAGCGCGGGGGUUUCCUUGGGUCUUCUCAGGACCGUAGUGCCUACCAGACGAUUGACUCAGCAGAGGCGCCCGCAGAUCCCUUUGCAGUCCCAGAGGGCAGGAGUCAAGAUGCCCGAGGGUACUGAAGCCAGCCACGCUGCACCCGGCCCUGCCCCGGGCCUUCCUCGUGCCUGGGAGGUCGUUCUAGGGAUGCUCCUGACCUCCGUCUCUUGGAUCUAAGAUGGAAUGUGUCCCCAGCUCAGGGAUUGCCUGAACCAAGAGGCCAGGAGCCCCCAUGGGCCGCCCAGUACCAUGCACACUCCUGUCCCGAACUCCCUGAGGCCUCCCCUCCCUUCAGGGCAC
rnacentral:sRNA from 1 species